AACGAACGCUGGCGGCAGGCCUAACACAUGCAAGUCGAACGCCCUAGCAAUAGGGAGUGGCAGACGGGUGAGUAACACGUGGGAAUCUUCCUCGUAGUACGGAACAACUCAGGGAAACUUGAGCUAAUACCGUAUACGCCCUUCGGGGGAAAGAUUUAUCGCUAUGAGAUGAGCCCGCGUCCGAUUAGCUAGUUGGUGAGGUAAUGGCUCACCAAGGCUACGAUCGGUAGCUGGUCUGAGAGGAUGAUCAGCCACAUUGGGACUGAGACACGGCCCAAACUCCUACGGGAGGCAGCAGUGGGGAAUAUUGGACAAUGGGCGCAAGCCUGAUCCAGCCAUGCCGCGUGAGUGACGAAGGCCUUAGGGUUGUAAAGCUCUUUUGGCGGGGAAGAUAAUGACGGUACCCGCAGAAUAAGCUCCGGCUAACUUCGUGCCAGCCGCCGCCGUAACAC
rnacentral:rRNA from 1 species